rnacentral:lncRNA from 1 species
GCGUGCUGGCUCCCAGAAGAGGAACCUGCUGCAGGCGCCGGCGCGGGCGGCGAGGACGACCUGUUUUUCUGACCCAGCCCGGAAGCGCUGGUGCAGGCCUUGAGCUUCCUUUUUUCUUCUCGCUGUGGAAAUUGCCUGGAAAGCUAUGAACUGUUGGUUCUUGAAUCAGUUGGCUGCCCCGGAUGUCUGAAUCCCUUGGAAGGAACCUGGAGGAGUUGGCUGAUGGGCUCCAGGUGCUACCGGAUCACCCUAACAACCCUCUGGGACCUGUGGCCAUGUGUUCACAACAGCAGCCAUUACAGGUGUUUCCUGAACUCUUGUCGCGAGCCUCUGUCGGCUCCAUCUCAUCGAUCCUCCCAGCAACCCACAAGGAAGCUUCACAGAGAGGCAGAUGCCACACAGGCCACCCACCCAGAUGCAGAGCCAGAUUCCCUGCGUGGACUGGACGGGAGUUUCCCAGCUGGAGUUCUCUCGGCCAAGCUGCCUGUGACAUGGGGUUGGAGGUGCUCCAGAGAGUCAUGGCCACCCCUGGAGGAAGUGACUUGUGGCUGACUGCUCAAGGGGAAGUCCUGUGGCAGUGGAGUCGUCAGCAUUAAUUCAAAUAAGGUGAGCAACAAGGAAUACCGAGAGGAGGUUUCCACACCAUGAACAAACAUGGCACCAGGAUCUGGAAGCUCCGGGCUUCUCCGUCUUCUAGAAUUCUGGGAGCCUCACAUGGCCCCCUCCUUGGCGAGUGUAUUAGGCUGUACUUGUAUUUCUGAAAUACAAAUAAAUACCUGAGACUGGGCAAUUUAUAAAGAAAA